ensembl:processed_transcript
AAUUCACCUGUCGUCUUUCAUCCAGCGAAUUCAUCCUCGCACAACACUGAGAUGAAGGCGAAGUCACCAUGAAAAGUUAAACCUUUACCGUUAAGCUACAGUAAUUGAUGUUGAAAAACUGAUGCUACCAAUCACUCCUCACUUGAUUAUUCAAGGUAAUGUUGAUGUCUUCCUCAUUUUUAUUAGAUUUUGAAAUGUCAAGUUGUUCACAGAUUUGUUGUGAGGAGUUUCAUGUAAAACCUCUUUUUCUUCUUCCAGCAGUUCCUAAGAUAAAAAAAAAAAUCUGGUGUUAAAACAGCAGUCUUUGUUUAUUAGCAAUUUUACUGGGCGUAUGGAACUGGAAACUGUAAGUUUAGUUCAAUAUGUUAUUUUAUGCUAUUCAUUUUUGUCUUAACAUGGAUUGCAUGUUGAAGCUAUCAUUUUAUAGUGGGAAAAUGUAAAAGAGAAUCACUGAAUACAAUGGCAUAAUGAUUCUGCUUGUUCAAAGAAGGUACUUGAUUUAGUUUUCCUCAAGCGACACAUCAGUUUUUAUGACUAUUGCUUGACACUUGAAUUGAAGGGACAGUUCACCCAAAAAUGAAAAUAAUAGCAUCUUUGGCAUCCUCCACUUGUUUCAAAAUAGUUAUAUAUUUAUUUUGUUCC